CCUACGGGAGGCAGCAGUGAGGAAUAUUGGUCAAUGGACGAGAGUCUGAACCAGCCAAGUAGCGUGAAGGAUGACUGCCCGAUGGGUUGUAAACUUCUUUUAUAUGGGAAUAAAAUGUUCCACGUGUGGGAUUUUGUAUGUACCAUAUGAAUAAGGAUCGGCUAACUCCGUGCCAGCAGCCGCGGUAAUACGGAGGAUCCGAGCGUUAUCCGGAUUUAUUGGGUUUAAAGGGAGCGUAGGUGGAUUGUUAAGUCAGUUGUGAAAGUUUGCGGCUCAACCGUAAAAUUGCAGUUGAAACUGGCAGUCUUGAGUACAGUAGAGGUGUGCGGAAUUCGUGGUGUAGCGGUGAAAUGCUUAGAUAUCACGAAGAACUCCGAUUGCGAAGGCAGUUCACUGGACUGCAACUGACACUGAGGCUCGAAAGUGUGGGUAUCAAACAGGAUUAGAUACCCCGGUAGUC
rnacentral:rRNA from 1 species